CAAAAUAGGAGCCUCUCUCUAAAAUUUGGAUCCGGCGACCUGGCAGCGACGAGACUGCGCGCGACCGCCGGCGACGCCCGCCACCGGCCCACCGUGCCCGUCGCGAGCCUCCGUCAAACUCGCGCCCCCAGGUGCAACCUCUGUCCCGGCACGACCCCGCUCCCCUAGAUUCUUCUUGAGGGCUGGAUGCAGAUCCUCCCGCGGCUCCAUUGCCGUCCCUCUCGUCGCAACCCAAGAAAGGCCCCGCCGCCCUUCGGGGUUCUCGCAAGCCAUAGAGGGUCCGAUGGCGGCUCGCCGGCGAGUGGACUUGGCGAAUGGGCGGGCAGCGAGGGAGUCAGCGGAGUCACUGCUGCCGUAGCAAGUGCUCUCCAGCGUCUCCCUUGCCUUGCAUAAUUAGCCACAAAUACUUGGGUCAUUCGGUGAUGGAAAGUUGGCAACGAUCUUGGAUAUUUGGAUGCACCUUUCUUUGUUCCAAGGAAUUUUCAAUGGCAACAUUGUUGAUGGAAAAUGGGACUGAAGGAAAUCUACAGUGUCUGCCCGACAGACUGAACUCUGAAGUUGCUCCUGUGAUACUGACAAAAAUGAUAAAGCUCAUUCUGUAACGCACAAAGAAGGAAUUCCUCAACCAUAAAUACUAAAGGAAACAAUCACAUCAAUGGCUUUCCACCACUCUGUUCACAUCAUUCACUGAAGGUAAAACCGCACUGUCACAGUGAAUAAGAAUAAGUAAGCAAAAUUUUGUGUUUACUGUCCUAACAGAACAGUGCUGCAAGAGCGUAACGAUUUCAACGACUUUGACACAGGCUUGUCUUAGCCUGGAAGUUCAGUUUUGCCAUGACCUAAACAUUCCUUUUCACUUCAAUGUCAAAGAGGUAAUUUAGCACAUUUCGGGUGAGAUAUAUCUCAGCCCAUGUGAUGACCAUUGUACCUUAGAUCAUAGGCAAACAUGUUGAGAAUCACCAGAGUGGCCGACUAAAGGUUAAGAGAUUCAGCCGUUAAGAUGCCAGGAUGUCACCAAGGGGUAUGAUCUACAUUCCCUGUUACAAAGGUUACAGCCACAAGCCUGAGGAAUAUGCCUCAGCCGGAGGACAUGGCAAAUGGUCUCAAGGUUCUAACCUUGAGCCCUUGACAUUGUCUAAGCUAUCCCUGGAGUGACAAGUGAGCAUGCCGAGCAACCAAGUCUCCUGCAUCUUUUGUUUUUUUGGAGGGUCAGUCACUCAGUCCCCUGCAUCUUUCUUCACCAGGCUCGCUCGGCCAACACCUCCUUCACUUUCAGGUCAUCCAUCAGGCCAUCAGCAUGCACCAUCCUUCCAUUACACUUUCUCUGGCUGCAUUACCAACUCUUCCAGUUUCUUCAGCCAGCAGCCAAUCUCCUCCAGCUCCAGGUGACGCACCGGGCACAGCACGGUCCGAUUUUUCAGCAUCUGCAAUAUGGCACGCCACAGCUGCAGCAAACUGCGCCAUCCACCAUCCUGAAACUGAAAACAAAUAUAAUUUCCUAGUUAACAACCACAUACUUGCUUGGAAAGCAUUUCCACUUCGGGAGGAAAACAUCUAUUCUUAACAGUAAAAUUCCUAAAAUAAUGGAUCAAAAUCCAGCAAAUUCAGGACUCACAUUCUGCAACUGUUCCCUCAUGUAUCCUUCUCGUGAACCAGGUGCGAGAGCUACUAGCUUACAUGCUAAUAUCCUCUUCCAUCAGAGCCAAUUUGUCUCCAACAUCGAAGAGUCUGUUCACUGUUUUCCAUAGCACCUAAAACCAUACUACUUCAGAAAUGGUAUAUAUUAGCUGCGGACCUGCUAAUCACAAUCCAAUCCUGCAGAAUGUGCAUACAUGAGGCGGCCUGUUAAAUGUUCAGACUUUUGGCUUUAGGACGGAAGUUUAAGUAUCUACUCCCUCCAUCCCAAAUUACUAUUCAUUUUGGUUUUUCUACAUACACAGCUUUUGAUAUGCAUAUAGAUAUGUACUUAUGUCUAGAUACAUAGGAAAAGCGUUGUAUCUAUAAAAGCCAAAACGAAUAGUAUUUUGGAACGGAGGGAGCAGAUGUGACGAAUAUUUUGAACAUCAUCAAUCGUGUUCUAAACAACCUGAACUAUCAGAAUCAGCGCAAAUAACGCUAAAUUCAAACCCUACCUAACACACACACGACACACCUUAUGAAUAGAAAAACACUAAUCUCUUACUGCACAAUUGGAUAUCGAACUCACCAAGACGGCUCGAGAUUUCACAGGACUUGCUCACCACCAAAACAAGUGCCAACAUCACAGUCAAACUCAAUCAGGCAAUAGAAGCACCUCCUGUCAGCCCAACGAAGCAAAGGAUGACCAUUAGUUGGGCGCACAAAAAUAAGCAGCCGGCAUAUCCGAAUUGAAUCCCAGAAAGCACAAAUCAAGGUCCCAAAUCCUAGGAUGCCAAAAGUUGGUCCAGGAAGCAAAUGGUUUUGUGCUUGAUACAAGUCUUCACAAAUGGCCAUACCAACAUGCUUCUCUACAGCUCGCACAGCUUUUUCUCGAGUAAGGUCAUCAGUAUUCAGUACUAUUGUUCUAUCAACAAAAUGGAAUCAUGACGAGAGCAACAGGAGGGAGUGCAAAACGAGAUCAACCAGUUGCAAAGCAGAGAAGAAUGCAGCUCUGCAAUGAUGGAACACCGGAAAGGAGCUGUCUAAUUGGACGGUUCAGGGCUCAUCUGAGCCAGAUUUGCUGGCAUUAGCAUCACCACAGGCAUCAUCACCCAUGCACAGAAAAGGAAGUGUCACUGAGCGCUAAGUAAUGAAGUGAUCCUGUCUCUCACUCAAGCACACUGCAGAGAGAUAUUGGGUCCUGCACUGACCAAAAGGGUAGCGGCAGAUCAGAGGACCUGGAAAAGGCUGGGAAACCAUGAGCCUCUGAUCCCAAAAUAUAGAGAUGCCUCGACAAAAUCAUUGCCAAUGCGAAGGAGUUACGCGCUUCCACAAUAAUUCCUUCGCUUCCACAAUCGCUGAAGAUUGACGGCAGCGUCGUCGUGCAUAGAGAAAAGGUGAUGUAGAAUCGAAGAGGAUGUUGUGGUGAUGAGGAAUCGAGAAUGAGAUGUGCACGUUGGAAAAGGGGACGCUGUGAUCAAGAUGGAACUGCAAAGAUCUGCAGAGGUCAAUGAUAAUGUCCUUAUGAUUUCAACAGGGAACGUGAAAGCACAAGCGCAAUGGAUGAUGCCUGCCACAAAUGGAAUUGGAUCAGACGCCUGGAGUCAAGGUCAUGCCUACAAAACAUCCUGUGCGCCUCUGUUUAUGCUGAAUGAUUGAUUGGCGAGCGAAAGCAGAUGGGCACCUGUAACUGAAAAACUGUAUGAACAUGACUUAUUUUCUAUAAAAAAAAAACAAGUGAAUGUUGUGUA